rnacentral:rRNA from 1 species
AUUGAACGCUGGCGGCAUGCCUUACACAUGCAAGUCGAACGGCAGCAUGGGUGCUUGCACCUGAUGGCGAGUGGCGAACGGGUGAGUAAUGCAUCGGAACGUACCCGGAAGUGGGGGAUAACGUAGCGAAAGUUACGCUAAUACCGCAUAUUCUGUGAGCAGGAAAGCGGGGGAUCGCAAGACCUCGCGCUUCCGGAGCGGCCGAUGUCGGAUUAGCUAGUUGGCGGGGUAAAGGCCCACCAAGGCAACGAUCCGUAGCGGGUCUGAGAGGAUGAUCCGCCACACUGGGACUGAGACACGGCCCAGACUCCUACGGGAGGCAGCAGUGGGGAAUUUUGGACAAUGGGGGCAACCCUGAUCCAGCCAUGCCGCGUGAGUGAAGAAGGCCUUCGGGUUGUAAAGCUCUUUCGGCUGGGAAGAAAUCGCAUCUCCUAAUACGGGGUGUGGAUGACGGUACCAGCAUAAGAAGCACCGGCUAACUACGUGCCAGCAGCCGCAGUAA